rnacentral:rRNA from 1 species
GAUGAACGCUGGCGGCGUGCCUAAUACAUACAAGUCGAGCGAACGGACGAGAAGCUUGCUUCUCUGAUGUUAGCGGCGGACGGGUGAGUAACACGUGGAUAACCUACCUAUAAGACUGGGAUAACUUCGGGAAACCGUAGCUAAUACCGGAUAAUAUUUUGAACCGCAUGGUUCAAAAGUGAAAGACGGUCUUGCUGUCACUUAUAGAUGGAUCCGCGCUGCAUUAGCUAGUUGGUAAGGUAACGGCUUACCAAGGCAACGAUGCAUAGCCGACCUGAGAGGGUGAUCGGCCACACUGGAACUGAGACACGGUCCAGACUCCUGCGGGAGGCAGCAGUAGGGAAUCUUCCGCAAUGGGCGAAAGCCUGACGGAGCAACGCCGCGUGAGUGAUGAAGGUCUUCGGAUCGUAAAACUCUGUUAUUAGGGAAGAACAUAUGUGUAAGUAACUGUGCACAUCUUGACGGUACCUAAUCAGAAAGCCACGGCUAACUACGUG